AUUGAACGCUGGCGGCAGGCCUAACACAUGCAAGUCGAGCGGAUGAAGGGAGCUUGCUCCUGGAUUCAGCGGCGGACGGGUGAGUAAUGCCUAGGAAUCUGCCUGGUAGUUGGGGAUAACGUCCGGAAACGGGCGCUAAUACCGCAUACGUCCUGAGGGAGAAAGUGGGGGAUCUUCGGACCUCACGCUAUCAGAUGAGCCUAGGUCGGAUUAGCUAGUUGGUGGGGUAAAGGCUUACCAAGGCGACGAUCCGUAACUGGUCUGAGAGGAUGAUCAGUCACACUGGAACUGAGACACGGUCCAGACUCCUACGGGAGGCAGCAGUGGGGAAUAUUGGACAAUGGGCGAAAGCCUGAUCCAGCCAUGCCGCGUGUGUGAAGAAGGUCUUCGGAUUGUAAAGCACUUUAAGUUGGGAGGAAGGGCAGUAAGUUAAUACCUUGCUGUUUUGACGUUACCAACAGAAUAAGCACCGGCUAACUUCGUG
rnacentral:rRNA from 1 species